UGAACAAAGAGCUGAGCCCAGUAAACCCACCAAGUCAGGCGGCCCUCAGAGCAUUUUCCUAGGAGGGAAGUGUCUUGAAGACUCACAAAAGCCAAUGGGAAAGAAUACUAAUUGGGUGAAUCUCUCUGGUCCUGAGUAGAAGCCUGCAGGGUCUGUGUCUGGCUCCUCCCCCAAUUCUAACCAUGGAGGGUUCAGAAAGGGAAAGUCAGAGAGAAGACUAAACACAGGAUGGAAGACAGCCAUAUCCGUCUGCCUUCUUCAGGCUUUCCAUGGCAACCCGCCUAACCAAGGAAGUGGAAAAGGCCAUCUGAGAUCAAAAUCACAGUUCCCAUUACGAUAAGGAACCGGGAAGGACUCCUGGGUGAAUCGCCAUGCCUGAUUCGGUUGAUUUCAAAGCCAACUUUAGACGAUGUGAGUAAUUGAAAUCCUGAAACCCAAACUCUCGAUGAAAUACUUUUGAGUCCUGUACCGAGAGAAAACUUGAACACUGAAUUGGACAAGGGAGGGCGAACCAUAGCCAAAUGAAAGGGCUAGCAUCUUAGGUACUGCAGUCAGUUAAACAUAGCAAGCUGAAAGGCAGCAACGUUAAUCUUGUAUCUAAGCCAGGGAGAAAAUAAACAGGCAAACACAAGC